rnacentral:rRNA from 1 species
UACGGGGGGGGGCACGCGUUGUUCGGAAUUACUGGGCGUAAAGGGCUCGUAGGCGGCCAACUAAGUCAUCCGUGAAAUCCCUCGGCUUAACCGGGGAACUGCGUCUGAUACUGGAUGGCUUGAGAUUGGGAGAGGGAUGCGGAAUUCCAGGUGUAGCGGUGAAAUGCGUAGAUAUCUGGAGGAACACCGGUGGCGAAGGCGGCAUCCUGGACCAACACUGACGCUGAGGAGCGAAAGCCAGGGGAGCAAACGGG